CCUACGGGAGGCAGCAGUGGGGAAUAUUGGGCAAUGGAGGAAACUCUGACCCAGCGACGCCGCGUGCGGGAUGAAGGCCUUCGGGUUGUAAACCGCUUUCAGCAGGGAAGAAGCGAAAGUGACGGUACCUGCAGAAGAAGCACCGGCUAACUAUGUGCCAGCAGCCGCGGUAAUACAUAGGGUGCAAGCGUUGUCCGGAAUUAUUGGGCGUAAAGAGCCCGUAGGUGGUUCGUCACGUCGGAUGUGAAAAUCUGGGGCUUAACCCCAGACCUGCAUUCGAUACGGGCGAGCUUGAGUAUGGUAGGGGAGUCUGGAAUUCCUGGUGUAGCGGUGGAAUGCGCAGAUAUCAGGAGGAACACCAAUGGCGAAGGCAGGACUCUGGGCCAUUACUGACACUGAGGAGCGAAAGCGUGGGGAGCGAACAGGAUUAGAUACCCUGGUAGUCCACGCCGUAAACGGUGGGCACUAGUUGUGGGGACCUUCCACGGUCUCUGCGACGCAGCUAACGCAUUAAGUGCCCCGCCUGGGGGAGGUACGAGCGCGAGAGUAAACUAACGUAAGAAGUUAGAGCGUUGAGAGNGCGAGGCGACGACGAGGAGAGG
rnacentral:rRNA from 1 species